UGAAAAGAAAUAAGGGGCGUCUCUCUUUUUUGCUGGUCGCCCAAAAGAAAAAAAAAUAGGAGAAGGGGGCGUCCAAGAGUUGGACACCCCAACAUCCACACGCCAACCUCCUUUUCUCUUCCCCAUCUUGAUAUGAUUUUAUAAGGCUUGGCUUGCUGGUUCUUGGAUGUCAAAAGAAGGCUCCUCUGCUGGUUAUACCGC
rnacentral:lncRNA from 1 species